GAUGAACGCUGGCGGCGUGCCUAAUACAUGCAAGUCGAGCGAACAGACGAGGAGCUUGCUCCUCUGAUGUUAGCGGCGGACGGGUGAGUAACACGUGGAUAACCUACCUAUAAGACUGGGAUAACUUCGGGAAACCGGAGCUAAUACCGGAUAACAUGUUGAACCGCAUGGUUCAACAGUGAAAGACGGUCUUGCUGUCACUUAUAGAUGGAUCCGCGCCGCAUUAGCUAGUUGGUAAGGUAACGGCUUACCAAGGCAACGAUGCGUAGCCGACCUGAGAGGGUGAUCGGCCACACUGGAACUGAGACACGGUCCAGACUCCUACGGGAGGCAGCAGUAGGGAAUCUUCCGCAAUGGGCGAAAGCCUGACGGAGCAACGCCGCGGGAGUGAAGAAGGUCUUCGGAUCGUAAAACUCUGUUAUUAGGGAAGAACAAAUGUGUAAGUAACUAUGCACGUCUUGACGGUACCUAAUCAGAAAGCCACGGCUAACUACGUG
rnacentral:rRNA from 1 species